GAUGAAGAACGUAGCGAAAUGCGAUACGUAAUGUGAAUUGCAGAAUUCAGUGAAUCAUCGAGUCUUUGAACGCACAUUGCCCCCCCUGGUAUUCCGGGGGGCAUGCCUGUCCGAGCGUCAUUGCUGCCCUCAAGCACGGCUUGUGUGUUGGGCCUCCGUCCUCCUCCCGGGGGACGGGCCCGAAAGGCAGCGGCGGCACCGCGUCCGGUCCUCGAGCGUAUGGGGCUUCGUCACCCGCUCUUGUAGGCCCGGCCGGCGCUUGCCGACACAUCAAUCUUUUUUCCAGGUUGACCUCGGAUCAGGUAGGGAUACCCGCUGAACUUAAGCAUAUCAAUAAGCGGAGGA
rnacentral:misc_RNA from 1 species